rnacentral:rRNA from 1 species
UACAGAGGGUGCGAGCGUUAAUCGGAAUUACUGGGCGUAAAGCGCACGUAGGUGGCGACGUAAGUCGGGUGUGAAAGCCCCGGGCUCAACCUGGGAAUUGCAUUCGAGACUGCAUUGCUGGAGUACGGAAGAGGAGGGCGGAAUUCCCGGUGUAGCGGUGAAAUGCGUAGAUAUCGGGAGGAACAUCAGUGGCGAAGGCGGCCCUCUGGUCCAGUACUGACACUCAAGUGCGAAAGCGUGGGGAGCGAACAGG